UAAUAGGUUGUUGGGAGGGAGUCGGCGGCUACUUUGGAAUGGGGAGGAGCUCGACGCACACUGUAUACCGAUUGUGCGGUAUGUGUAUGUGUGUGGCCGGCGGCUUAUCGUUCGUCGCGCGCCAUCUGAAUCUGCGCCUCCUCACGGAACGCACAUCUUUUUGAGGUGAUGCUCUCUCCGCGCGGAUCCGUACUAUUUCGUGUGGCGACGGUGACCCAACGUAUCAGACUCGAGUUCCGCAUCCUUGCGUCGUCGGUCGCACCACCCCAGGCCC
ensembl:ncRNA F49E10.9 ncRNA